rnacentral:rRNA from 1 species
GAUUUGUGGCCGUCGCGUGCGGCCCGGCAUUUUGCCGGUGCCUGCUAGCGUCGCCAUCCUUGGGUGGAACCUGUGUGGCAUUAGGUUGUCGUGCAGGGGAUGCCCAUCGUUUACUGUGAAAAAAUUAGAGUGUUCAAAGCAGGCUUAUGCCGUUGAAUAUAUUAGCAUGGAAUAAUAAGAUAGGACCUUGGUACUAUUUUGUUGGUUUGCGCACCAAGGAUGUCUUCUUCUGUCUCUUAUACACAUCUCCGA